CCUGGAGCAAUGUGGCUAUAUUGGAAUCACUUGGAAUUACAGAAAAUGACUCUGUCCACAUCAUCUUGUCCUCAGAGUCUAUCUCAAACCUAGCUUCUAAUAUGCAAAAUUUUCAUGCUAAUAUUACACCAGUUGUGCAUCAGACUCCAAAAGGACUGAGCAUGUUCUUUUCAUCAUUUCUUACGGUGAAUUUACAUAAUAUUGGGCAGAAAUUUUUAAAGUCAUUGCCUUAAUUCGUCGACUAACUGGCUGUCAUGUAUUGGCCCAGGCUUUAUAUCAGAUUGUGUGCAAAAUGAACUACUGAGUAAAUCACAAAAGAUUGCUGUCAUGGAAUGUCUGUACAUACUUUUUAGGGAAAUACUUAGUGACCUUACAAGAAACACUGGAAGAUCAAUGGAAGAUGGAGAAGUUUUUGAAAAUUCUAAUGUUUGCUGGGCACUUCUGAUUGGAACAUCACAGAAUGAAAGCAUUAUGCAUGAGGUGUAUGCUCCUAUGAGCCUUGUGUGUAACAGUUCUCAUAUGCGCUUUUCUGAACCAGUACGUGUUCCUGGAAUCACAACUGUGUAUGAAAAAGAGUAUGUCCGGAAGACAA